GCAAGGAAUUUUCCGCAAUGGGCGAAAGCCUGACGGAGCAACGCCGCGUGCGGGAGGACGCCUUUCGGGGUGUAAACCGCUUUUCUUGGGGACGAACACAAUGACGGUACCCGAGGAAUAAGGACCGGCUAACUACGUGCCAGCAGCCGCGGUAAUACGUAGGGUCCAAGCGUUGUCCGGAGUUACUGGGCGUAAAGCGCGCGCAGGCGGCGAAGUGGGUCCGGCGUGAAAGCCCCCGGCUCAACUGGGGAGAGUCGUCGGGGACCGCUUCGCUUGAGGCUGGCAGGGGCUGGUGGAAUGCCCGGUGUAGUGGUGAAAUGCGUAGAUAUCGGGCGGAACACCCGUGGCGAAGGCGGCCAGCUGGGCCAGAUCUGACGCUGAGGCGCGAAGGCGUGGGGAGCGAACGGGAUUAGAAACCCGAGUAGUCC
rnacentral:rRNA from 1 species